rnacentral:rRNA from 1 species
AUGCUGAGUUACUGUUUUUCUUGUGUUGCAAUAUCAUUUCUUAUUGUUGCACAUAAACUAGAACUUUUUGUAGCUGCCAGGGGAAGGAUCCGUGUCGAUGCUGACAGUGUUCAGAGGGCAUUUGAUCUCCCAAACAAGGGUCCAAAAGUCAGAUAUUUAGUUGACAAGGAUGCCACUAGGAGAUUCAGACAGGCUUUCAACAUAAUUGGAAAUUCUCAUCCCCAGAUCACUACAUGGCUCAAGAUGAUUGAGCAUAUGGCUGGAAGAACGAAUGACACAUUCUUUAUGGCCUGGCUUGCGGUUGCCUUCAGCACUUUUCUAGCACCAACCAUGGCCUUGAAGCUCAGCCCAAAGUGUUAUGGACUUGUGCUAGAUCAUCAAAUGCUAAAGAAUACAAACAUCUGCCUCUUUGUAGCAGAACACAUUAACGAAGCUUUCCGGAACAUGGACCAGGAGAAGCAAACUGUUUGCUGCUGCUUGUAUCACUUGAUGAUACUAUACCUUGAUGCGCUCGUACAUGACAUCCCAGUAAGCAACUGCGCGAUACGAUCGAAUGCAUGGGAUAGUACUCUAAUUGCCAAGGUGAUCAAGAAGGAUACUAUCUCUCCUGGUGUGUUCGGCAAAUUACAACUUAAAGAGGAGUAUAGAGGCACGGAGCAGACACCACUGUUUGGUGGAAUUUUGCAAGCUGAAGCAUUUGUGGCAUCCAAGUUACCAAUAACAUACAAUCCGCAGAAAAAGGCAAAAUUUGCGAAAGUGGUCAAUGAGCUGUGCAAGGCUGUAACUGAACAGGUUGGCACCUUCAUUGAAGAAGUUGCCAAGAUUGAUGACGAGGAACCAGAUAUUGAUCCUUAUGUACAGCAGCCAUCAAUGCAAACUGGGGCAUCACGCCGUGCUCCAAAAAGAAAGAGACGGCGGAGAGGAGGAGGACAAGGAAGAAGAUAG